AUUGAACGCUGGCGGCAUGCCUUACACAUGCAAGUCGAACGGCAGCACGGGGGCAACCCUGGUGGCGAGUGGCGAACGGGUGAGUAAUGCAUCGGAACGUGCCCAGUAGUGGGGGACAACCUCGAGAAAUCGAGGCUAAUACCGCAUACGACCCACGGGUGAAAGCGGGGGACCGCAAGGCCUCGCGCUAUUGGAGCGGCCGAUGUCCGAUUAGCUAGUUGGCGGGGUAAGAGCCCACCAAGGCGACGAUCGGUAGCUGGUCUGAGAGGACGACCAGCCACACUGGGACUGAGACACGGCCCAGACUCCUACGGGAGGCAGCAGUGGGGAAUCUUGCGCAAUGGGCGAAAGCCUGACGCAGCGACGCCGCGUGAGGGAUGACGGCCU
rnacentral:rRNA from 1 species